CCUACGGGAGGCUGCAGUGGGGAAUAUUGGACAAUGGGGGGAACCCUGAUCCAGCGACGCCGCGUGAGUGAAGAAGGAUUUCGGGAGGUAAAGCUCUAGCAGCAGGGAAGAAAAGGACGGUACCUGACUAAGAAGCCCCGGCUAACUACGUGCCAGCAGCCGCGGUAAUACGUAGGGGGCAAGCGUUAUCCGGAUUUACUGGGUGUCAAGGGAGCGUAGACGGGGCGGCAAGUCGGAUGUGAAAGGGCGGGGCCCACCCCCGGGACUGCAUUGGAAACUGUUGAACUGGAGUACAGGAGAGGUAAGCGGAAUUCCUCGUGUAGCGGUGCAUUGCUUAGAUAUUAGGAGGAACACCAGUGGCGAAGGCGGCUUACUGGACUGUACCUGCCGUUGAGGCUCGAAAGCGUGGGGAGCAAACAGGAUUAGCUACCCUAGUAGUC
rnacentral:rRNA from 1 species